rnacentral:rRNA from 1 species
UACGUAGGGAGCAAGCGUUGUCCGGAUUUACUGGGCGUAAAGAGCGCGUAGGCGGAAGCUUAAGUGUGGCCUGAAAUCUCUCGGCUCAACCGGGAGAGGUUGUCCGAUACUUCCAGACUUGAGGGCAGUAGAGGGUGGUGGAAUUCCGGGUGUAGUGGUGAAAUGCGUAGAUAUCCGGAGGAACACCAGUGGCGAAAGCGGCCACCUGGACUGCACCUGACGCUGACACGCGAAAGCUAGGGGAGCGAACGGG